rnacentral:misc_RNA from 1 species
CCGAGUUCAUGCCCUUCGGGGUAGAUCUCCCACCCUUUGUAUACUAUACCUUUGUUGCUUUGGCGGGCCGCCUAGCUACUGGCUUCGGCUGGUAAGUGCCCGCCAGAGAACCCAAAACCCUGAAUUAUUAGUGUCGUCUGAGUAAAAUAUUUAAUAUUUA